CCCAGCCCAGUAGUCCAUGUACGAUCGUGGCCUGCCUCAUGUGUGUAAUUGUUUUGCUGGUCGAGGCCAGGUCCUAGCCCUAAUGCUAUCGAUCAGAUCAAUCGAACGUGCGCCUGACUGUAGAUGGCCGCCGCCGCCGCCGCCGUCGCUCACGACAACGCUAUACAGCUACGCGCCAGGAGGCCAGCCUAUGGAUACAAGCAGGGCAUUGCCGCAUUGCCAUCAGCCACAUAAGGAAGCUCUGCCCUUUCGUUCUUGUGUCUCCUCCAACCGUCAUCACCGGCUCAUCCCAAUGAAGCAGUUGUUGCUUCUCGGUCAGUAUCAAAUCCUAUACUAUCCAGUCCCAUGACUCAUAUUGUCAUAGCUAGACCAAAUUUAAAGGUAUAUCCAACAUACAACUAGACUAUGCAAAUUACUAGGUAAUGUUAUUGUUACAUUUCUUACUACAAUAUUUGAAGUUAUAUAACAACUAUACGUCAAGAUAAAGUUCUAAUAUUUA